rnacentral:ncRNA from 2 species
CUACGGACUUAAGAUAAAUUGAGCCUUGAGGCGAGAAAUUCCUCAAGUGUAAGCUGUCAAAUUCAGGGAAACCUAAAUCUGUGAAUUCAGACAAGGCAAUCCUGAGCCAAGCCGAAGGGUAUUAGAAAUGAGGGAGAGAAAGUUUCCCCAAUCUAAGAUCAAAACUUCGGAAGGUGCAGAGACUCGACGGGAGCUACCCUAACGUUAAGCCGAGGGUAAAGAGAGAGUCCAAUUCUCAACGCCAAUGGGCA